rnacentral:lncRNA from 10 species
GGAAGUGACUGGAUGUGGAGAGGAGUGUAUCCGCGAAGGAACGCACAAGUGGCCUGACCUGCAGAAGAACGCUAGCUAGGCACUAGGCAUGCCGGCAAGGUCAGCUGAGAGCUGACCCCAGUGCAACGUGGAGGAGUUUGGUUGGGGCAGUCGGAGGAGCACCUGGGCCGCCAAGCGGCCAGACUUCGGGGGAAAGCCAUCUCUCUUCUGGCGCCUUUAUCGGCAGAGAGCUACUUGUACUCAAAACCUUGCACUCAUUCUCCAAGCCCACGUGGGUAAGAUUCACCCACACUGCGGAGGGCGUCGGAGCUCCACAGCCUGCCUGUCUGUAUGCUCCCAUAGAGGUUUGAGCAGCGGGGCACUGGAGAAGCAAGUCACACCCCCAUUGCACGCCAUGGGAGUAGGACAAGAAUUGGAUAAUUGGAAUCAUGCAGAAUGUAGCCUUUUUGGAGUGGCUUCUUUCACCUACCAAUAUGCAGAUUCAACAGAGUUGGAUUGCUGAGAAUAAAAUUACGGAUUUCUCCAUAAUGGACACACGCACUUUUUGUUUGUGCUGUUUCCUUUAGAAUGGACGAUGAGUCAAAAUUGUUCGUUUAUGCUUCUUCACAGAAGGAUCUUCUGUGUCGUAGGAGGUGGCCUGCAGCAAUCUGGACAUUCAGUGGUCCUCCUGUGAUUAAUAGGUGAACGGAUGAGCUAUUCUGAUAAGAACUGGGGAACUUUUGCCAUUCAAAAGCAAAUAGAAGAACUGGGAGAUUCCUCAACUUAGCUUUUCUUUUUUUUGGUUCUAAAGUGACUGCGAAUGGAGGUAGAAGAGAAGAAAAGCUUUCAAAAACAUCUUCCAUUAAGAAAAAUAUGUAUCUUCAUGAAGACCUAUCUGAGUAAAAUUACUAAAACAUAAUGGCUUUCUUGAAAUAGAAUGGAAUGAAAGGCAUAUUAGGGAGUAUGAAAGUAUGAAGAUUUUAUUAACAUACUUCUAGAAGUUUAUUAAAUAUCUGCACAGGAACUGUAAUUUGAGAUCAGUGGUGGAAAGAGAAUAAAGGAAUCACGUGGACAUCAGCUCUGAGGCCUGUGGCCCCACUUGCUUCUGGGCUUUCUAUAGACAUUUGCUGGUG